rnacentral:rRNA from 1 species
UACGUAGGGUGCGAGCGUUGUCCGGAUUUAUUGGGCGUAAAGAGCUCGUAGGCGGCUCGUCGCGUCGACCGUGAAAACCCGCGGCUUAACUGUGGGCGUGCGGGCGAUACGGGCAGACUGGAGUACUGCAGGGGAGACUGGAAUUCCUGGUGUAGCGGUGGAAUGCGCAGAUAUCAGGAGGAACACCGGUGGCGAAGGCGGGUCUCUGGGCAGUAACUGACGCUGAGGAGCGAAAGCGUGGGGAGCGAACAGG